rnacentral:lncRNA from 1 species
GGUAAUGGGGGCUCUGGUGAACGCCAUCUUCCUGACUGGCCUCUGUUUCGCCAUCCUGCUGGAGGCCAUCGAGCGCUUCAUCGAGCCGCACGAGAUGCAGCAGCCGCUGGUGGUCCUUGGGGUCGGCGUGGCCGGGCUGCUGGUCAACGUGCUGGGGCUCUGCCUCUUCCACCAUCACAGCGGCUUCAGCCAGGACUCCGGCCACGGCCACUCGCACGGGGGUCACGGCCACGGCCACGGCCUCCCCAAGGGGCCUCGCGUUAAGAGCACCCGCCCCGGGAGCAGCGACAUCAACGUGGCCCCGGGCGAGCAGGGUCCCGACCAGGAGGAGACCAAC